AAGGAUUUAAGUUAAUUAACCAAACUAGUAGCCUUCAAAGCUGAAAACAAAGAGAGCUUUAAGCCUUA
rnacentral:tRNA from 1 species